GACGAACGCUGGCGGCGUGCCUAAUGCAUGCAAGUCGCACGCGGCACCUUCGGGUGCUGCGUGGCGACCGGCUGAGGAACACGUGGGGACCUGUCCGGGAGUGGGGGACAACACUGCGAAAGCGGUGCUAAUCCCGCAUAAGCUCUGAGGAGGAACGCCGAAAGGCGCUCCCGGGUGGGCCUGCGACCCCUCAGGUUGUUGGUGAGGUAACGGCCAACCAAGCCAAUGACGGGUCGCCGGUCUGUGGGGACGACCAGCCAGACUGGGACUGGGACACGGCCCAGACUCCGACGGGAGGCAGCAGCAAGAAAUUUUCAGCAAUGGGCGCAAGCCGGACCAAGCAACGGCGCGUGCAGAAAGACGGCCUGCGGGUAGUAAACUGCUUUUGCUAGGGAGGAUAACAGACAGUACCGGGCGAAUCAGCCCCGGCUAACUCUGUG
rnacentral:rRNA from 1 species